rnacentral:misc_RNA from 1 species
GUAUCGUGCGGUGCAUUUUGGGGUUGUACAUGGCAUUCGGUUGUUUGCUUGGCUUUUUAGCCUUGCGGGUGGCUGUUUGGCAGGGCGACUUCGGAGAUGUCUACCGUAAAGGUGCAUGAGUGGUGUUUGGUUUGAUACGGGUGGUCGGCUCCCUGCUUGAGCAGGCACGGCCAUGCGUACAUUCCUUUUCAGUUGUGCGGCAAGGCUUGUAUUGUCUUGAUCGUAUAGGUGGGUUUACUGUGUUGCAUACCUGAUCAAUGGCAUUGUUUUGAUCAAAAGCGCCCCUUUUUCGUCUGGCGAUGCACCYGCRUCGUMGGAUGAACAAUGCAGCAUCCUCUUUGAUCCAUACAGUCGAUGUGCAUUCGUUGAUUGUCUGGCCCGUUGAGGGUGGCUUGGUCUCUCGAAUAUGGAAGCCAAAGUGGGCAUGGGUUCGCAAGAUCCUUUUAUUGCCCUCGUUGAGCGUUCUCGCUUCUCUUACACGACCGCCUUUCACGUAUGGCACGUCCCAGCGUGUUUGGCUACGUCGAAGAGGAAUGC